rnacentral:rRNA from 1 species
CCUACGGGAGGCAGCAGUGGGGAAUUUUGGACAAUGGGCGCAAGCCUGAUCCAGCAAUGCCGCGUGAGUGAAGAAGGCCUUCGGGUUGUAAAGCUCUUUUGUCAGGGAAGAAACGGUGUUUUCUAAUACAGAAUGCUAAUGACGGUACCUGAAGAAUAAGCACCGGCUAACUACGUGCCAGCAGCCGCGGUAAUACGUAGGGUGCAAGCGUUAAUCGGAAUUACUGGGCGUAAAGCGUGCGCAGGCGGUUUUGUAAGUCUGUCGUGAAAUCCCCGGGCUCAACCUGGGAAUGGCGAUGGAGACUGCAAGGCUAGAAUCUGGCAGAGGGGGGUAGAAUUCCACGUGUAGCAGUGAAAUGCGUAGAUAUGUGGAGGAACACCGAUGGCGAAGGCAGCCCCCUGGGCUAAGAUUGACGCUCAUGCACGAAAGCGUGGGGAGCAAACAGGAUUAGAUACCCUGGUAGUCCACGCCCUAAACGAUGUCUACUAGUUGUCGGGUCUUAAUUGACUUGGUAACGCAGCUAACGCGUGAAGUAGACCGCCUGGGGAGUACGGUCGCAAGAUUAAAACUUAAAGGAUUGACGG